AUUGAACGCUGGCGGCAGGCCUAACACAUGCAAGUCGAGCGGAGCGGCGGACGGGUGAGUAAUGCCUAGGACUCUGCAUGGUAGUGGGGGAUAACGUCCGGAACCGGGCGCUAAUACCGCAUACUAUCAGAUGAGCCUAGGCCGGGGUGGCUAGUUGGUGGGGUAAAGGCCUACCAAGGCGACGAUCCGUAACUGGUCUGAGAGGAUGAGCAGUCACACUGGCACUGAGACAAGGUCCAGACUCCUACGUGAGGCAGCAGUGGGGAAUAUUGGACAAUGGGCGAAAGCCUGAUGCGGCCAUGCCGCGUGUGUGAAGAAGGUCUUCGGAUUGUAAAGCACUUUAAGUUGGGAGGCGUUACCAACAGAAUAAGCACCGGCUAACUUCGUGCCAGCAGCCGCGGUAAUUC
rnacentral:rRNA from 1 species